rnacentral:rRNA from 1 species
AACGAACGCUGGCGGCGCGCCUAACACAUGCAAGUCGAACGAGAAGGCGUAGCAAUACGCUUGUAGAGUGGCGAACGGGUGAGUAAUACGUGGGUGACCUACCCUCGAGUGGGGAAUAACCCGCCGAAAGGCGGGCUAAUGCCGCGUACGCUUCCGUCCUCACGGGGACGGAAGGAAGGCUGUACCGUGGGUACGGCGCUCAAGGAUGGGCUCACGUCCUAUCAGCUUGUUGGUAGGGUAACGGCCACCAAGGCUACGACGGGUAGCUGGUCUGAGAGGACGAUCAGCCACACUGGCACUGCGACACGGGCCAGACUCCUACGGGAGGCAGCAGUGAGGAAUAUUGCGCAAUGGGCGAAAGCCUGACGCAGCGACGCCGCGU